GGGAUGGAGAGGACAUCAGUAGACAGAGGAUAGAUGACAUUGCAGAGUAAGGAGAAUAACGAGAUUAGGUGGAUAUGACCAAUGAUAUGGGAUAUGGGAAAUUAAGUUGUAUAAAGGGGAAAAGGUGACCUAGUGACAGUAAGAGGGAAAGGUCUUAUGACAUUGGAGAGGGCUGCUGGAAAUGGCAUGGGAAGAGAUAAG